AUUGAACGCUGGCGGCAGGCCUAACACAUGCAAGUCGAACGAGUGGCGGACGGGUGAGUAAUGUCUGGGAAACUGCCUGAUGGAGGGGGAUAACUACUGGAAACGGUAGCUAAUACCGCAUACCAUCGGAUGUGCCCCGAUGGGAUUAGCUAGUAGGUGGGGUAAAGGCUGACCUAGGCGACGCUCCCUAGCUGGUCUGAGAGGAUGACCAGCGACACUGGAACGUAGACACGGUCCAGACUCCGAAGGGAGGCAGCAGUGGGGAAUAUUGCACAAUGGGCGCAAGCCUGAGGCAGCCAUGCCGCGUGUAUGAAGAAGGCCGUCGGGUUGUAAAGUACUUUCAGCGGGGAGGCGUUACCCGCAGAAGAAGCACCGGCGAACUCCGUGCCAGCAGCCGCGGUAAUUC
rnacentral:rRNA from 1 species